GAUGAACGCUAGCGGCAGGCUUAACACAUGCAAGUCGAGGGGUAACGGGGUGCUUGCACCGCCGACGACCGGCGCACGGGUGCGUAACGCGUAUACAAUCUACCUUGUAGAGGGGAAUAGCCCAGAGAAAUUUGGAUUAAUGCCCCAUAGUAUUAUGAAAUAGCAUUAUUUGAUAAUUAAACAUUUAUGGCUACAAGAUGAGUAUGCGUUCUAUUAGUUAGUAGGUAAGGUAACGGCUUACCUAGACUUCGAUAGAUAGGGGUCCUGAGAGGGAGAUCCCCCACACUGGUACUGAGACACGGACCAGACUCCUACGGGAGGCAGCAGUGAGGAAUAUUGGACAAUGGGCGAGAGCCUGAUCCAGCCAUGCCGCGUGCAGGAAGACGGCCCUAUGGGUUGUAAACUGCUUUUAUAGAGGAAGAAACACUCCCACGUGUGGGAGCUUGACGGUACUCUACGAAUAAGGAUCGGCUAACUCCGUGCCAGCAGCCGCGGUAAUACGGAGGAUCCAAGCGUUAUCCGGAAUCAUUGGGUUUAAAGGGUCCGUAGGCGGGACAAUCAGUCAGCGGUGAAAGUCUGUGGCUCAACCAUAGAAUUGCCAUUGAUACUGUUGUUCUUGAAUACUUAUGAAGUGGUUGGAAUAUGUAGUGUAGCGGUGAAAUGCAUAGAUAUUACAUAGAACACCGAUUGCGAAGGCAGAUCACUAAUAAGUCAUUGACGCUGAUGGACGAAAGCGUAGGUAGCGAACAGGAUUAGAUACCCUGGUAGUCUACGCCGUAAACGAUGGUUACUAGCUGUUCGGUCGCAAGACUGAGUGGCUAAGCGAAAGUGAUAAGUAACCCACCUGGGGAGUACGUUCGCAAGAAUGAAACUCAAAGGAAUUGACGGGGGCCCGCACAAGCGGUGGAGCAUGUGGUUUAAUUCGAUGAUACGCGAGGAACCUUACCAGGGCUUAAAUGUAGAUUGACAGGGGUGGAAACACCUUUUCCUUCGGGCAAUUUACAAGGUGCUGCAUGGUUGUCGUCGGCUCGUGCCGUGAGGUGUCAGGUUAAGUCCUAUAACGAGCGCAACCCCUGUUGUUAGUUGCCAGCGAGUCAUGUCGGGAACUCUAACAAGACUGCCAGUGCAAACUGUGAGGAAGGUGGGGAUGACGUCAAAUCAUCACGGCCCUUACGUCCUGGGCCACACACGUGCUACAAUGGUAGGGACAGAGAGCAGCCACUGGGCGACCAGGAGCGAACCUAUAAACCCUAUCACAGUUCGGAUCGGAGUCUGCAACUCGACUCCGUG
rnacentral:rRNA from 1 species